rnacentral:rRNA from 1 species
GCAAGUCGAACGGUAACAUUUCUAGCUUGCUAGAAGAUGACGAGUGGCGGACGGGUGAGUAAUGCUUGGGAACUUGCCUUUGCGAGGGGGAUAACAGUUGGAAACGACUGCUAAUACCGCAUAAUGUCUUCGGACCAAACGGGGCUUCGGCUCCGGCGCAAAGAGAGGCCCAAGUGAGAUUAGCUAGUUGGUAAGGUAACGGCUUACCAAGGCGACGAUCUCUAGCUGUUCUGAGAGGAAGAUCAGCCACACUGGGACUGAGACACGGCCCAGACUCCUACGGGAGGCAGCAGUGGGGAAUAUUGCACAAUGGGGGAAACCCUGAUGCAGCCAUGCCGCGUGUGUGAAGAAGGCCUUCGGGUUGUAAAGCACUUUCAGUUGUGAGGAAAAGUUAGUAGUUAAUACCUGCUAGCCGUGACGUUAACAACAGAAGAAGCACCGGCUAACUCCGUGCCAGCAGCCGCGGUAAUACGGAGGGUGCGAGCGUUAAUCGGAAUUACUGGGCGUAAAGCGCACGCAGGCGGUUUGUUAAGCUAGAUGUGAAAGCCCCGGGCUCAACCUGGGAUGGUCAUUUAGAACUGGCAGACUAGAGUCUUGGAGAGGGGAGUGGAAUUCCAGGUGUAGCGGUGAAAUGCGUAGAUAUCUGGAGGAACAUCAGUGGCGAAGGCGACUCCCUGGCCAAAGACUGACGCUCAUGUGCGAAAGUGUGGGUAGCGA